rnacentral:rRNA from 1 species
UACGGAGGGUGCGAGCGUUGUCCGGAAUCAUUGGGCGUAAAGAGCGUGUAGGCGGCCCGGUAAGUCCGCUGUAAAAGUCAAAGGCUCAACCUUUGAAUGUCAGUGGAUACUGCCAGGCUAGAGUCCGGAAGAGGCGAGUGGAACUCCUGGUGUAGCGGUGGAAUGCGCAGAUAUCAGGAAGAACACCAACGGCGAAGGCAGCUCGCUGGGACGGUACUGACGCUGAGACGCGAAAGCGUGGGGAGCGAACAGG